rnacentral:rRNA from 1 species
AUAUUGGCGAUAAAUGUCAGUGUCUAAGAGAAAAUGAUAAGUGAUCCACCUGGGGAGUACGAUCGCAAGGUUGAAACUCAAAGGAAUUGACGGGGGCCCGCACAAGCGGUGGAGCAUGUGGUUUAAUUCGAUGAUACGCGAGGGACCUUACCAGGGCUUAAAUGCAGAACGACCGCUUGGGAAACCAGGCUUUCUUCGGACGGUUUGCAAGGUGCUGCAUGGUUGUCGUCAGCUCGUGCCGUGAGGUGUCGGGUUAAGUCCCAUAACGAGCGCAACCCCUAUUUCUAGUUGCUAGCAGGUAAUGCUGAGGACUCUAGAGAAACUGCCAGCGUAAGCUGCGAGGAAGGUGGGGAUGACGUCAAAUCAUCACGGCCCUUACGUCCUGGGCCACACACGUGCUACAAUGGUCGGUACAGAGGGCAGCGACUGCGCGAGCAGAAGCGAAUCUCCAAAGCCGGUCUCAGUUCGGAUCGAAGUCUGCAACUCGACUUCGUGAAGCUGGAAUCGCUAGUAAUCGCGCAUCAGCCAUGGCGCGGUGAAUACGUUCCCGGGCCUUGUACACACCGCCCGUCAAGCCAUGGAAGUUGGGGGUGCCUGAAGCCGGUGACCGAAAGGAGCUGUCUAGGGCAAAAUCAAUGACUGGGGCUAAGUCGUAACAAGGUAACCGUA